GAGGCUGGAACAGCUCUGAGGGAUCAUCGAGUCCAAGCUGUGCCCAAUGCCCACCUCGUCCCCAGCCACCUCCAGUCCUUCCUUGGACACCUCCAGGGAUGGACACUCCAAACCUCCCUGGGCAGCUCCUUCUAAUGCCCGAGCACCCUUUCCAUGGAGAAAUCUUUCCUCAGAGUCCAGGGGCAGAGCUCAGUGAGGCUGUGCCCCCUGCCCACCUCUGGCCAGGACCCCCUGUCCUGCUUUGCGUCUCUAAGCCCAGGCCAAGACAAACAAAGGAAGGAAGUGUCUGGGACUUUUAA
rnacentral:lncRNA from 1 species